AGUCGGACGACAGGCGAGGAAUCCGCAAGGAGGAAUCGUGCUGAGUGGCGAACGGGUGAGUAAGACAUGGGGACGUACCCUCAAGAGGGGGAUAGCAUUCCGAAAGGGAUGGUAAUACCCCGUAAGCUCGAGAGAGGGAAGGUGCAACAGCACCGCUUGAGGAGCGACUCAUGGCCCAUCAGUUAGUUGGUGAGGUAAAGGCCCACCAAGGCUAUGACGGGUAGCUGGUCUGAGAGGAUGGUCAGCCACACUGGGACUGAGACACGGCCCAGACUCCUACGGGAGGCAGCAGUGGGGAAUUUUUCCCAAUGGGCGAAAGCCUGAGGGAGCGACGCCGCGUGGAGGAAGGAGUCUUUCGAGAUGUAAACUCCUGUUGUAAGGGAGCAAGGGUAUAUGUAGUGGAAAGGCAUAUACUCGGAUAGUACCUUACGAGGAAGCCCCGGCUAACUACGUGCCAGCAGCCGCGGUAAUACGUAGGGGGCGAGCGUUGUCCGGAGUUACUGGGCGUAAAGGGUGCGUAGGUGGCCGAUAAAGUCAAUUGUGAAAUUCCACGGCUCAACUGUGGGAGUGCGGUUGAAACUAAUCGGCUUGAGGUCAGGUCAGGAAGAUGGAAUUGUCAGUGUAGGGGUGAAAUCCGUAGAUAUUGGCAAGAACGCCGGUGGUGAAGACGGUCUUCUGGGCUGAUACUGACACUGAGGCACGAAAGCUAGGGGAGCGAACGGGAUUAGAUACCCCGGUAGUCCUAGCCGUAAACGAUGUUCACUGAGUAUGGGAGGCGUUAGCCAUCCGUGCUGAAGCAAACGCGUUAAGUGAACCGCCUGGGGAGUACGGCCGC
rnacentral:rRNA from 1 species